CAGCUGCAGCUCACCCGUCGUUCUACUUCUGAUCUGUGAGCAUUAGCAGCCUUUUUGUGAGCCCCUUGUUCAUUAUAUUAAUCAUUACAAAACAGAUGCCACAGACCUAACGCCAUGCAUGAGAUGUGGUGACUUCUCCCCACCCCGAAUCUUUCCCUCACUCUCCUUUUUAAUCUUUUCUUUUUCAUUCUGACUCAAUUUUUCUUUCCUCCAGCAGUCUAGGCUGAUGUGUACAUCUGCCUUACCAGACCUGCGCAGGGCCUUUUUUAUCACCAGGCAGUGGGUACACAGUUUAUGAAGUCAAAUCUUCCGGACUUUUAGGCAAGGAUGGAAACCUAGAGCCAUGAAGUUCUUCUGUGGGAAACUCUAGCGGAAGAUUUACUGACAGCACAUCACUGGAAUUCAAGAGGGCAGAGAAGGCAGCUUGGCUUGGCUGGCAGAGUGAAGGAGCAUCUGCUUUCCCAUCCAGGAACAGAUGUCAGUAAUUUUCCAGAGGGGAGGCCCUGCAAGGUUACCAAUUCCAUUCAAAUUACACAAGGUGGACACUGUGUUCUACUAUCAAUGUACUCAGUAUAGUUUUCAAGAACAGUGUAAGAACAUUUAAUAUCAGUGCAUUUGCCUUGGUGGUGUCAUUUCCCUCCUUGGGUAUGACUGUCAGAAAGUUUUUUU